rnacentral:rRNA from 1 species
UACGUAGGGGGCAAGCGUUGUCCGGAAUUAUUGGGCGUAAAGAGCGCGUAGGCGGUCCGGUAAGUCGGUUGUGAAAGUCGGGGGCUCAACCCUCGGAUGCCGAUCGAUACUGUCGGGCUAGAGUCCGGAAGAGGCGAGUGGAAUUCCUGGUGUAGCGGUGGAAUGCGCAGAUAUCAGGAGGAACACCAAUAGCGAAGGCAGCUCGCUGGGACGGUAUUGACGCUGAGGCGCGAAAGCGUGGGGAGCAAACAGG